UUUCCGUAGGUGAACCUGCGGAAGGAUCAUUAAUGAGAACUAAGGGUAGUAGUCUCGGCUACUACUCUGAACACUCCACCCUUUGUUUAUAUUACCUUUGUUGCUUUAGCUGGCCCGCUCUCGAGCCGCCGGCACCUGCUGGCUAGUGCCUGCUAAAGAACCUAAAACUCUUGUUAAUAAUAUUGUCUGAGUACUAUAUAAUAGUUAAAACUUUCAACAACGGAUCUCUUGGUUCUG
rnacentral:misc_RNA from 1 species